rnacentral:rRNA from 1 species
GACGAACGCUGGCGGCGUGCUUAACACAUGCAAGUCGAACGAUGAAGCCGGAGCUUGCUCUGGUGAAUUAGUGGCGAACGGGUGAGUAACACGUGAGUAACCUGCCCUUGACUCUGGGAUAACUGCGGGAAACUGUAGCUAAUACCGGAUACGACCCUCGGAGGCAUCUCCUGGGGGUGGUAAGAAUUUCGGUCAAGGAUGGACUCGCGGCCUCUCAGCUAGUUGGUGAGGUAACGGCUCACCAAGGCGACGACGGGUAGCCGGCCUGAGAGGGUGACCGGCCACACUGGGACUGAGACACGGCCCAGACUCCUACGGGAGGCAGCAGUGGGGAAUAUUGCACAAUGGGCGCAAGCCUGAUGCAGCAACGCCGCGCGAGGGAUGACGGCCUUCGGGUUGUAAACCUCUUUUAGCAGGGAAGAAGCGAAAGUGACGGUACCUGCAGAAAAAGCACCGGCUAACUACGUGCCAGCCGCCGCCGUAA